AGAGUUUGAUCAUGGCUCAGAUUGAACGCUGGCGGCAGGCCUAACACAUGCAAGUCGAGCGGUAGCACAGAGAGCUUGCUCUCGGGUGACGAGCGGCGGACGGGUGAGUAAUGUCUGGGAAACUGCCUGAUGGAGAGGGAUAACUACUGGAAACGGUAGCUAAUACCGCAUAACGUCGCAAGACCAAAGUGGGGGACCUUCGGGCCUCAUGCCAUCAGAUGUGCCCAGAUGGGAUUAGCUAGUAGGUGGGGUAACGGCUCACCUAGGCGACGAUCCCUAGCUGGUCUGAGAGGAUGACCAGCCACACUGGAACUGAGACACGGUCCAGACUCCUACGGGAGGCAGCAGUGGGGAAUAUUGCACAAUGGGCGCAAGCCUGAUGCAGCCAUGCCGCGUGUGUGAAGAAGGCCUUCGGGUUGUAAAGCACUUUCAGCGGGGAGGAAGGCGUUAAGGUUAAUAACCUUGGCGAUUGACGUUACCCGCAGAAGAAGCACCGGCUAACUCCGUGCCAGCAGCCGCGGUAAUACGGAGGGUGCAAGCGUUAAUCGGAAUUACUGGGCGUAAAGCGCACGCAGGCGGUCUGUCAAGUCGGAUGUGAAAUCCCCGGGCUCAACCUGGGAACUGCAUUCGAAACUGGCAGGCUAGAGUCUUGUAGAGGGGGGUAGAAUUCCAGGUGUAGCGGUGAAAUGCGUAGAGAUCUGGAGGAAUACCGGUGGCGAAGGCGGCCCCCUGGACAAAGACUGACGCUCAGGUGCGAAAGCGUGGGGAGCAAACAGGAUUAGAUACCCUGGUAGUCCACGCCGUAAACGAUGUCGAUUUGGAGGUUGUGCCCUUGAGGCGUGGCUUCCGGAGCUAACGCGUUAAAUCGACCGCCUGGGGAGUACGGCCGCAAGGUUAAAACUCAAAUGAAUUGACGGGGGCCCGCACAAGCGGUGGAGCAUGUGGUUUAAUUCGAUGCAACGCGAAGAACCUUACCUGGUCUUGACAUCCACAGAACUUUCCAGAGAUGGAUUGGUGCCUUCGGGAACUGUGAGACAGGUGCUGCAUGGCUGUCGUCAGCUCGUGUUGUGAAAUGUUGGGUUAAGUCCCGCAACGAGCGCAACCCUUAUCCUUUGUUGCCAGCGGUUCGGCCGGGAACUCAAAGGAGACUGCCAGUGAUAAACUGGAGGAAGGUGGGGAUGACGUCAAGUCAUCAUGGCCCUUACGACCAGGGCUACACACGUGCUACAAUGGCAUAUACAAAGAGAAGCGACCUCGCGAGAGCAAGCGGACCUCAUAAAGUAUGUCGUAGUCCGGAUUGGAGUCUGCAACUCGACUCCAUGAAGUCGGAAUCGCUAGUAAUCGUAGAUCAGAAUGCUACGGUGAAUACGUUCCCGGGCCUUGUACACACCGCCCGUCACACCAUGGGAGUGGGUUGCAAAAGAAGUAGGUAGCUUAACCUUCGGGAGGGCGCUUACCACUUUGUGAUUCAUGACUGGGGUGAAGUCGUAACAAGGUAACCGUAGGGGAACCUGCGGUUGGAUCACCU
rnacentral:rRNA from 1 species